rnacentral:rRNA from 1 species
UCUAAGGUCUAACCUGCCCAAUGAUGUAUAUUUAAUGGCCGCAGUAUUUUGACUGUGCAAAGGUAGCAUAAUCAUUAGUUUUUUAAUUGAAAGCUGGAAUGAAUGGUUUGAUGAGAAAAAGGCUGUCUUGUAUUAUAAUUUUAUUGAAAUUUAUUUUUAAGUAAAAAAGCUUAAAUAUGUUAAAAAGACGAGAAGACCCUAUAGAUUUUUAUAAAAUUAAUAUGUUUUAAUUUAAAGAUUUAGUAAAAUUUAAAUUUAUUUAUUAUUUAAUUGGGGUGAUUUAAAAAUUUAAGAAACUUUUUAUUUAUUUAAACAUUAAUUAAUGAAUUUUUGAUCUUAACAUUUAGAUUAUAAGACUAAAUUACCUUAGGGAUAACAGCGUAAUUUUUUUCAAGAGUUCUAAUCGAAAAAAGAGAUUGCGACCUCGAUGUUGGAUUAAAGUUAAGUUAUGGUGUAGAUGCUAUAAUAUAAGGUCUGUUCGACCUUUAAAUCUUUACA